rnacentral:tRNA from 1 species
GCCGCGGGUUGCUCACUGCCCUACAGACUUCUGUGAACCUGACAGCGGUCCCCUUGAGUCAGCCUUCCGUUUGCCCUGGCGGAGGUUGUGCUGCUAGUGCUGCUGUCCGGCACUCAGUCUGGGCACGUGCGCCUGGAGGCUCUGUGGCGCCUUCUUGGCCUGCCCCAGUGGCUGAAUGGAUAAGCCAGGGCUUGGGGUUCGAGGCCCUCGUGGGUGGCAUCGGGGAUCCCUCUCAGGAACGUCUAAGUGCGAGGGCUGUGCCCGCCUCCGCGCGGCGCCCGACUCCUCUCCCGCAGCCCGAGUGCGUUUAUUCAUUUCUAGCUGCCCCGGGUCGGGAGCCUCAACACUCCACGGCCUCCAUCUGGGGACUUUUCUACCCGGGAAGAAGGUGUGCGGCCAACUCGCUCGGCCACCCCUCGCCUGUGUGGAGGAACAGAGCAGAGCCCCUCUUGCCCAGUGGAGCCUACCUGGAGGCCGGGCUCCAUUUGGAGCUUGGGGAAAGCUAAAAAUGAUGGGCACUACCCCAGGUGGGACUCGAACCCACAAUCCCUGGCUUAGGAGGCCAGUGCCUUAUCCAUUAGGCCACUGGGGCCUGCGGCACGUGCGGCCUGCCUCUCCUCUGAUGUGCAGUGCGACCUUGCUUGGCCGGGCAGGUCGCAGUCGGGCCGGCCCGGAGCUGCGGGAGGCGAAGGGACCGCACCGGGCUGGGCCAUCGCCACGCUCCGGCCCAGCCGCGGGCGCUCCUCGGAACCUGGGGGCCGCCUUGAAGUCGCCUGGAAAACCUGACCGUAGAUGCGGGAAGACCGAGGGCGGUGGCGUUUCCUGACCAUUUUUGUGUACCUCUAAAGAACUGAUGCAAAAAUCAAGAAUUUUAGGAGAAGGUAGUGCGGGAAGUGAAAGAGAACAGACACGAGGCACGGACACGGAGUCCGUCGUGAGAACGCACCGAUCCAGCCACAACAGGAUCCCGUGUACUGUGCACACCUGUCACGUUACCAACAGGGUGCGUGGAUGGCAGCCGGGCAGAGUUUUCACUCUAGUAUUUUCUUUAAAACUCUAAGUCUAAUAUUCCUUAACACGCGCGCGCACACACACGCACGCACGGUGGGCCAAGGUGCACAGCCGUAAUCCCAGGGACUCGGGAGGCUGAAGCAGGAGCAUGGCAAGUUCGAAGGCAACCUGGGUAAAUUAGGGAGACCCUGUUUCACAAGGAAAUUAAGGAUUGGGAUGUAGUUUAAUGAACCCAGAGUGUCUCUGGGUUCAACCCCAGAACCAGGGGUCAGGGAAGGACAAAACAAAAACCUUCAGCCAAGGACAAAUGUGUAGUCCCAUUGUGCCUACUUCCAGACUUUGCAGGGUAAACAGGACUUGAGCAUAUUCCUCUUUGCUUCUCUCUAAAACAGAGUCUGCAGAAACAGGUCUCCUUCCUCCCCUUACUAGAGCAAGAAGGAAGAAUUUCGCCCAUGUGGCUCCAGUCCACUGCCUUGAGGACUUCUGGCUGUGACUGCUGAGGUUUAAAGGCAGGCAGUAAUCACAGGUCCUUAGGACGAGCUUCUCCUCCUGCCUGAGUUAUGAACCUGCCACUUCCAUCAAGACAGGGAACCUCCUGGCACCUGCAAGUCACCCUGUGCCUCCCCAAGUCAAUGAUCUCCUCCGUCAUGCAAAUCCUUCUCUGACUCUACCACCGAGCUACAGCCCCAGCCCCUGUGCAUGUUCUAUUUUUCUCAUCACAAAUGAUUUUACUAGUUUUCAACUUCAUAUAAAUGAAAUUAACUGUAGUCUAUAAUUUUAUGAGGUCUGGCCUCCUUCACUCAACAUUGUCUUUGAAAUUUCGUUUUUAUGAAUGGGCUCUGCUCUCUGUCCCCAGUCCAUUUGCUU